GGUUGUUUCUGCCAUGGGACCUUUUCCAGGAUGGCUGGCUUGGAAGCCUCUUGCCCACCCUCCCAUCUCCAGUGCUGGGAUUGUGGAUUUGUGUGACCACAUCAGACUUUUUCAGCAAGGAAGACAGAACAGAAGGAAGCAUUUCUCAAUUAAAUCCUCAUUUAAAUAAAGAGAGAUUACAAGUAGGACCUUCCCAAGAAGGUGGUGAGCACGGAGAUGAUGCAGGCGGAGUGCUCAGCACACAUGCAGCGCCUGGCCCACGGCAGCUUCGAGGAACGUGCUGCUACUGUCUCUAUGCAGUGAGCCAGUGAAGUAGAGAAUGAAGCCCUAGGAUGAUGAGGGCAUCACACCGAAAAAGGGAGCUCUCCCAACUCAGUCCUCUUCAGUUUAGGAGUAAAUGUCACUGGAUCAAAUGA